GAGAUCUGACGGCUUAAAAGUGUGGCACUUCCUACCUCACUCUCUCUCUCUCUCCUGCUGCAUUGUGAAGAAACUGCUUGCUUCCCUCUCACCCUCUGCAGUUUCCUGAGGCCUCCCCAGCCAUGCGGAACGCUGUAGACCAAGACCUGGAAUUAACACAUCAGAAGAUUCUAUGAGGAAACCCAUUUAAAAAUAGGAUGCAUUUUUUUCUUUUCUGCACAGGGAGAAAGUUUAAGCUCUCCUCACUAUGAGUUUUCAAGUAUAAAAGACUUUUUCUUCCACGAUUUUGAGAACAACUGAGGACUCUUGUGACCAGGACAACAGGGAAGCUUGCAGCAAGAUAGCUCCAGGUUGGAUUCAUGCUUCGCACCCCAAGGGCUGCCAGCCAGAGAGGAGGAGAAGCAAUCACUCCUGCAGUUUCUGAACACUACACAGACGCCAGGUAGCUUCUUCAGGAGAACAGCCCUCUGAGGAGGCAGGAAGAGGAGGCUUAUCUUUCAGCAGCCGGAGCUGCUGAGAUCUCUGGGCAGAUUAAGCUCUCUCUAAUGGAUGGGCUCCAGCCUGGCACAUUCAGUGGAGAGGGAUCCACUCAUCCAUCAUCAACAUAAUAUGGUCCUCCCUGCACUUCACAGUGUCCUCUUGCUAUUGAAAAGGCUUUUUUGCCUUCUCAAGUUUCUUUGUCAACAGUCUACAGGAAGAAGCUCAGGCCGCCACCGGCAGAGGUGAAUGCAAGCUCACGUUUUAUUUCUGACUGCUUAAUCAUUGCCUCGAUCACUGCUCAAGCUCUGCCUUUGUUUCCAAAGGUUACCUGUGGGAAAACUUCUUUUUCUAUGCUGAAAUUAAUAGGGAGGCAAAGAUGAGUCCACUGAUAAGCAGAGCCUUAAAACUCACAUAGAGAAACAACUUUGCUGGAGUGUGUGUGAGUGAACCACUAAGGAAUCAGAUAGUGUGAUGGCAGUUAUCAUUGCAGGUUAAGACAUUUCUACAAAUAUUUCGACAUCUCCAUAUACUCACUCCUUUCCCCCCUGAGUGGAGAGACUCAGCUACCAAGAGAGGAAGCUCAAAAAAAACAGAAGCUUCAAACAAACAACCAACCAAAAAAAAAAAAAAACUGUGGGUUCAUCAGAGGUGGUAGGGAAGACAAAAACAUGGGAGGAGCAGCUGGGCACGGUGGCUCAAGCCUGUAAUCCCAGCACUUUGCGAGGCUGAGGUGGGUGGAUCACCUGAGGUCAGGAGUUCGAGACCAGCCUGGCCAACAUGGUGAAACCCCAUCUCUACUAAAAAUACAAAAAAUUAGCCGGGCGUUGUGGUACGCACCUGUAAUCCCAGCUACUCCGGAGGCUGAGGCAGCAGAAUCGCUUGAACCCAGGAGGCAGAGGUUGCAACGAGCCAAGAUCGCACCAUUGCACUCCAGCCUGGGCAACAAGAGCGAAACUCCAUCUAAAAAAAACAAACAAGCAAACAAACAAAAAACACGGGAGGAGCAAUAAAAAGGAAUCCAUGCUUUGAUUUUUUUUUUUAGUGAGAGGAAGGGAAGGCUGCUGCCUCUCACUUCUCCCUGUUUUGUUGUUCUUUUAAGUAGCAUGUGUCACUCUGUAUAUAUCCUGUCCAUGUGUUUUCUUUUAUUAUUAUUUGUCCACUUGCCUAGAAUGAAAACUCCAUGGGAGCAUGGC
ensembl:lncRNA LINC00958 long intergenic non-protein coding RNA 958